GGGGUAGGACGAUCAAUUGUUUAUGCUUCUAUUCUUAAUGCGUUAUUAAUUGCUAGGGGAGGCUAGGGAUAGCAAGCUGGUAAUUAGUAAUAGACUCUUUUCGCCGAGGGAUCGGGUUAAGGGUAGACCAAGAAAGUUUGCAUAACAAUUAGAUAAUCAAGCACAUUAAACAAGAGGAGUAGAUAAGAGAGAGUGAAUUAGAUGAAAUUGUCAACCCCCAACAACUCCAUUCAUCCAUUGUCUUUUUCGUCAAUUGAAUCAAAUACAUUGCAUGUUUAUUUUCUGUCUUUGCAUUCACAACAAUUAAUCUUUUUCUACAAGUCUUACGAUUUUAAUUCACACGAACGAUAUGGCCUUUCGAGUCUCUUGGGAAGAACGAUAUCGGGCUUUACCAAUUAUAUUACUUGA
rnacentral:lncRNA from 1 species